rnacentral:lncRNA from 1 species
GAGGAUCCAUAAGGCUUCUUGGAUGAGAUAGAGAAGAUCUUUCGGGUAAUGCGGGAUACUAAUGUAGAAGGGGUUAACUUUAUAGCUUAUUAACUCAAAGAUAUUGCUUAUCAGUGUUAUAAAAAGUGGGAUAGGGAUAGACGUGGUAUAGCAGAGGAAGGGUUAUGGGAGUCCCCUUUUAAUGCUUUCUUGGAUUGGUUCUUUCC